UCUUCUGGACCAAACCUACUGUAACUGAUGGAGAUCCACCGAACCUGUGUUUAGACUCAGAAAACAGAGGAAGAGUUCAGUGUGACAGAGAAAAUAAUAACACUUACAGUAUCACUCUGACAGAUGUAACAGAAGCUGAUAAACACAUCUACUACUGCAGAUUCACUACAAACAGAGGAACAUGGACGGGGAUUCCUGGAGCUCAUCUGGACGUCACCAAUCUGCAGGUGGAGACACAGCAGAGUGUGAAAGAGGGAGAUUCAGUCACUCUGACAUGUAACAGCAGCUGCUCUCUGCCUCAACAAACAUUCAUCUGGUUCAGAAACACAC